rnacentral:rRNA from 1 species
AGCGAACGCUGGCGGCAUGCUUAACACAUGCAAGUCGCACGGGCAGCAAUGUCAGUGGCGGACGGGUGAGUAUCGCGUAGGAACAUGUCCAGAGGUGGGGGACAACCCCGGGAAACUGGGGCUAAUACCGCAUAUGAGCUGAGGCUCAAAGCAGUGAUGCGCCUUUGGAGUGGCCUGCGUCCGAUUAGGUAGUUGGUGGGGUAAAGGCCUACCAAGCCUGCGAUCGGUAGCUGGUCUGAGAGGACGACCAGCCACACUGGGACUGAGACACGGCCCAGACUCCUACGUGAGGCAGCAGUGGGGAAUAUUGGACAAUGGGGGCAACCCUGAUCCAGCAAUGCCGCGUGGGUGAAGAAGGUCUUCGGAUCGUAAAGCCCUUUCGGCGGGGACGAUGAUGACGGUACCCGCAGAAGAAGCCCCGGCUAACUUCGUGCCAGCAGCCGCCGUAA